rnacentral:lncRNA from 1 species
AGUGGGUAAAAAUGAGCAGAGAAGAAAACCCACAAAAGCCACGAGCCAGUGCCCAAGGUCAACAUGGUGCUGAGAAGUCACAGAGCAGGGCCUUGGAAAUACAGCUGAACACCCCAGCCUACCUGCCAAUCCCAGUCCAGGGCCACCGCAAAACACCUGGCUCUUCAAAACUGCCAAGGUCGCUGGAACCAGGGAAAAAGAGCAAGCACUCCCACCCACAACAUCUGGUGAUGAAAUAUCCUCUGAACAGGACCUGGAGGAGAAGAAGGAAGGCAGAACAGAGGUGAGUCACCAGUGGAGUUGGAAACUGCAACAAGAGUUCUUUCCAAGCUGAGUGUAAGCCCUGCUCGACCCUGUCUGAGUCCAACCCUGGAGCCCUGCCAUCACAAUCCGGUGCACUAAGGCCAGGCAGUUCCUCUCAUGCUUUUCCCCCACCUUCUCUGUACCUGUGGUCUUAGCAACUCAAGCGGAGCAGGGAGGCAGCUGGACCUCCUUCACAGGUAACAAUGUCAUGUUUUCUUUUUUUUUUUUAAUUGAGUUUAUUGGUACAUUUUAGGUAUACAGUAUAGUUGCAUUCGUUAUUGGGAUCUUGUACCUUUACAUGACAGGUCUUGGUUUUCAU